GCGGGAGUGCCGGAGCGGUCAAACGGAGCAGCCUCAAGAGCUGUUGGCUUAGUGCCUGCGAAGGUUCGAUUCCUUUCUCCCGCA
rnacentral:tRNA from 1 species